UACGAAGGGGCUAGCGUUGUUCGGAUUUACUGGGCGUAAAGCGCACGUAGGCGGAUCGAUCAGUCAGGGGUGAAAUCCCAGAGCUCAACUCUGGAACUGCCUUUGAUACUGUCGAUCUGGAGUAUGGAAGAGGUGAGUGGAAUUCCGAGUGUAGAGGUGAAAUUCGUAGAUAUUCGGAGGAACACCAGUGGCGAAGGCGGCUCACUGGUCCAUUACUGACGCUGAGGUGCGAAAGCGUGGGGGAGCAAACAGG
rnacentral:rRNA from 1 species